rnacentral:misc_RNA from 1 species
GCAUUCUCUUCAGUUGCCUGCCAAGGCUUCUUUGUCUUGGUGGAUCGUGGGUUUCCUGUAUUGUCUACCUAAACGAUGGUAUUGAUUGGUUGAUCCUAGUCCCUUUUCUUCUAGUGUCAUACCGAUGACACUGGAUGAACCAUGAAGCGGUCUCUUUGAUCCACCUUGUCAACGCUAGCGUUGAUUUUGUGGCUCAUUGAGCAUUGCUUGGUCUCAUGGAUACAGAACACGGUUUGAGCACGGGGUCUCAUGUGGUCUUUGUUUCACUUUCAUUCAGUAUGUGCGCUUCCUUUUAAAAAAAAAGACGCCUCGCCCGGAAUGUGCAAGUUCCCCCGGGGUGGUAAGUCAAAGGGAAAUGCACUUCCUGUUGGAAGUGUUCAUGGUGCCGCAUGUGAUCCUUGUCUUGCUCUCGGUUAGCGUUCCCGCCUCAUGGGUGCAUUGGGGUCUCAUGUGGUCUUUGUUUUGCUUCCUUUCAGCUUGUGCGCUUCCCUUUAAAAAACAAGACUCCUCGCCCGGAAUGUGCACGUUCCCCCGGGUGGUAAGUCAAAGGGAAGUGCACUUGUUGUUUGAUGUAGGCAUUGUGCCUCAUUUGAUCCUUGUUUUGCUCUCAUUUGGCGUUCGCGCUUCUCUUCAAAUGACGGCCUUGCAUGCUAGGGCUUGUACCAGUGUGCCAGGCCAUGUCAAAGAGGAAUGC